rnacentral:rRNA from 1 species
GACGAACGCUGGCGGCGUGCCUAAUACAUGCAAGUAGAACGCUGAAGAGAGGAGCUUGCUCUUCUUGGAUGAGUUGCGAACGGGUGAGUAACGCGUAGGUAACCUGCCUUGUAGCGGGGGAUAACUAUUGGAAACGAUAGCUAAUACCGCAUAACAAUGGAUGACACAUGUCAUUAUUUGAAAGGGGCAAUUGCUCCACUACAAGAUUGAACUGCGUUGUAUUAGCUAGUAGGUGAGGUAAUGGCUCACCUAGGCGACGAUACAUAGCCGACCUGAGAGGGUGAUCGGCCACACUGGGACUGAGACACGGCCCAGACUCCUACGGGAGGCAGCAGUAGGGAAUCUUCGGCAAUGGGGGCAACCCUGACCGAGCAACGCCGCGUGAGUGAAGAAGGUUUUCGGAUCGUAAAGCUCUGUUGUAAGUCAAGAACGGGUGUGAGAGUGGAAAGUUCACACUGUGACGGUAGCUUACCAGAAAGGGACGGCUAACUACGUG